rnacentral:rRNA from 1 species
UACAGAGGGUGCGAGCGUUAAUCGGAAUUACUGGGCGUAAAGGGCGCGUAGGCGGUUAUUUAAGUGAGAUGUGAAAGACCUGGGCUUAACCUGGGAAGGUCAUCUUAGACUGGGUAACUGGAGUGCGGUAGAGGGUAGAGGAAUUUCCGGUGUAGCGGUGAAAUGCGUAGAUAUCGGAAGGAACACCAGUGGCGAAGGCGUUUACCUGGGCCGACACUGACGCUGAGGCGCGAGAGCGUGGGUAGCAAACAGG